ACAAAGGCAAUGAAGAGAAGAGUACGUGCGGAGAUACGUCACAGAGAGCCCCGGCUGGUGGGAAGGGGUAUGGAAGGCCGCGCUGAACAUGGUCUCGGAGCCGCGCACCGAGUGUACCGGCGUACAUAAGGCUGCGACGGGGGCGCCCGUCAUAGCGCAGGCGUAUCGGAUCCUCCUGUACGCUCCAAGGCCCCGGCCGUGAGGUCCGGGCGAAACAAGGUGGUACCACGAAGCGAAAUGCUCUCGUCCUUGAU
rnacentral:ncRNA from 1 species